UAAGGGAAAUAGGGAGCCAUUGAAAGGGAGAGACUGGCGAGGUUUAAAGCCCUCGUGAUCUUAAGUGGCGUCCUGGAUACCUUUCAGAGAGCAAACCGUCCAGGGCUCAGAUUUCGGGGUACUCACGAAGAUCUUCGGAUAUCAGCCUCACACGGAUAGGGCUUUCUGCCCCUGGACACAAUGAUGGGCUUAAGACUCUUGCAGAUACAGAAAAAAAAAUUUACCAAAAAUGAGCAGAGAAUCCUGACCUACCAAAGCGAGGCACUGACAUUGCCUGUAACAGAGGUAAUGAAGAAUAAGGCAGACUUCUUGGAGGAUGGUGGCUCCACUACCUAGAGAUGAAGGAAGGGCGGAGAAUACAGCCUUUCCUUAGCCCUCCGAGGGCACAACAGUUGGCUCCGAGUCCUCUUCAGGCGUGUCCUGACAUACACACGAGGACUAAUUUAAAAGCCUCACUGAGAAAAAUGAAUGACUUCAGUCCUUGACACUUUCCAAGUUCUUUCCCCUAGCUCGCCCGGGAAAUGCACCCCAUUAAUAACCAAUAAACGUUAAGAACGUCACCUCCCCACCCCUCUGGAAUUCCAAAGGGAGAAAUUUCUGGCCUGGGGACGUCCCCGGUUGUCCCCAUCAGGUAGGGAACUUCCGGAAACGCCUCCACUCCCCGAACAAUGGAAGGCUCCCUCCCUCCCCAACCUAUCCCGGGAGCCGAGUGCUCACGCCCUGCAGCUGCUCAAAGACUCUGAAGCAAGGAAGGGGACCCAUAAGCCAGCAAGCGGCUCAGUGGAGUGGCAUCCCCACCCGAGAGACUUGGGGACCUGACAUGAGGAAUCAGGAGAGAAUUCCCAAGCCAGAGGCCGGCUGUGAAUCCAAGAACACAGAGAUCCAGUCUUGAGGGCAAUGUGUCCGGGCAGGAGUGGGUCUCCGUGGAAUCUCAGGCCGUCAGCUACCAUCAUGUAUACAGAUGUUCCAUGAGGAGGUUUGCUUGGAUCCCACGGCCCAGCAUUCCUGUUCAGCCUCAUUCUCCCUCUGAUCCAGCAUCGUUUCUGAGACCUGUCUCCCAGGUGGUCAUUUCUCUUCUCUCCUGUCUGGCAUCCGAUCCUAAGUAAACAAGUGACUAAUAUAAUCAUGAUGAUAGACUCAGAUUGUAUUUCAAGUGUUGUGUACACCGAGACAGUGUAUACAGAGAUAGAUCAUGUACACCGAGACUGUGUAUACAGAGAUAGAUCGUGUACACCAAGACAGUGUAUACAGAGAUAGAUCGUGUACACCGAGACAGUGUAUACAGAGAUAGAUCGUGUACACUGAGACUGUGUACAUUGAGACUGUGUAUACCAAGACUGUGUAUACAGAGAUUGUGUACACCAUGCGAUAGAGAUCCAUAUAUUUCAUUUUAAAAGUCUUUUUCAUUUUAUAUUUGUUCUUAUUUUAUGUGUACAAGUGAGUGUUUGAUGUAUGUAUGUAUGUAUGUAUAUAUGUAUGUAUGUGCACCAUAUGCAUGGCUGGUACCCUUAGAGGCCAGAA
rnacentral:lncRNA from 1 species